ensembl:lncRNA
UGGCCGCAGAGCGGCUUUGCCGUAAUGUAUAUCUGGAGCCUUCUUUUCCCCUCAUUCCCUGGGUUCCUGCAGGACAAACGAUCCUCCACAGAAAUAAUAAUAAUAGCAACAGACAUUUAAUGAGCUGACUGUGUGCUGAGGUCACCCAUCGAGUGCUCCUGACAGCUCCUUGAGUUAUUUCCCAGAAUCUAGACCCAGUGAUUUUUCAAGAGCAUUUGGGCCUGGAACAUACGCGCUUGUGAUUUCAUUGACCCUACCAACAGCCAUUCAGGUAGGUAUUAUCAUCCCACUUUGCAGAUGAGGGAAGAGAGGCUCAGAGAGGGCAAUGACCUGCUCUGAAUCACACAGCUUAUUAGCUGUGGAACCGGGAUUUGAACCAGGUCUGACUCUUUCCGCAGCACCACACCUUGUCUGUGGGUAAAUUGUCAAAAGGAGGAGGCGGAGGAGAAAAGAGAAGGAAGGGAGGAAGAAAGGAGGAAGAGGGGAAGAAGUGGACUCUGCAUCUAGAAGGGCAAGGAGAGAAGAGCCGUCAGGCUGGGUCCUUGACUCACAUAACGCCUGCUAGUCCAGCUCCAGGCACAAGGAAUCCUCGUCUCUCCCUGCAGCUCGGCUCCUGGCUCUGGGCAGCUGGUUUUGGCUCCCACACAGGGAUGUGGAAAACACGAAUAUCCCAGGCAUCCGGCUAUGGGAGCAGAGCCCCAACCUUGGCUGUUGAAUGCACCCGGGGGAAGCUUCCAGAAGCCAGAGGGGCAGCUGCACCAACACAGAGAGCCUCAGGCCGUCUGGUCCCCUUAGUUCAGCCCCUCCCUCCUGCCAGGUCUGAACCUUCCUGUCUGAGUUGGGAGCCUCACCCCUUCCUUUCACCUGUCCCCAGGGGCGUCCGCCAUCCUCUGAGGAGUCCGCAGGGCCUGCUUAGGAGUCUGCCAAUGGGCCUGAGUUCACAGCCUCGCUCACCCCAACAGGCAGGGGCCCUCGGCCUCCGCAGUGCACCUCCUAGGGAUGCAGUUCAUCCUGAAGUUUCCAUGGAUGUGCCCCCUGGAGCUGUGCGGUGGGAAGGUGCCCUCUCUUGCCUCAUUUCCCUGCCUCGAGGAGGGGCUGUAGGACCGCUCCCCCAGGCCCUUAGGGGGCUGCAUCCUGGCGUCUCAGCUCUGAGCAGGGGUUUCUAAUGUGAGGAGGUCUAGCAAGGGGGAUGAGGGGAUGAGGCCUGGGUCCAGACCUGCCUCUGCUGUGGGAUCUUGGGCAUGUUACUUACCCUCUCUGAGCAUCAGUUUCUGGAUCUUGAGGUCAGAGGGGUGUCAGCCCCCUCGUGGAUGGUGUCGGGAUGAACCGUGUUGGGCAGCGGCUGGCACUAGGGGGUGCUCAGCAGUGGUGGUUACUGCUUUCACUAGUGUUAGAGGUCCUGCUGCACGACUCCUCCCACCAGUCCCAGCUGGGCCAGGGGCUGCCUCGGCCCCCCACAGCUCCCUGGGGCUCCUUUCAGGUCCUGUGCUGCCUCAGGGAGUCGGCCCGACUGCGUAAGCAGCAUCUACAGGUGACCGGCACAGAGUCUACCAGGUGGUAGAACCUGGGUGUUUGCACCCCUCCCCCAGUGUGGAACCUCUGGCAUUAGCACCUCCUUCCUGCUGGAAUGGAAGCGAGGGGCCAUCAGAUGGUCAGAUGGGCUCCCCAGGCCUCUGAGCCGUCCCAGCAGUGCCCUUGGCUUGUUUUGGCUCCCCGCCAAGAAUGCUGGCCCCCAGCUUGGGAGGCUGACUGACCUCCGGCCCCAGAGGGAAAUGCACACUUUUGCUCAGCUCCCAGGAGCAGCCCUGCAUUCCAGGAGGGGCGUGGGAAGGGCCAGCCCUCCCCCAGUGAGCUGAGCCGAGCCGGGACGGCCUGCAGCCUGGCCAUCUCCCCAGCCUUGUGCUGGCCCAUGCCGACCUCACGUCCCCAGGGAGAUCCACUCUGCCAUGGAGGGGUGGAGACGGGGUCUGGGAGAAGAUUCCCAUUGCCACCAGAGGACAGAAGUGUCAGCGAGUUCCCAGUGAGAUGUCCCAGCCUUCCCCAUCCACCCGCACUUUCCAGUGCUAGCCAAUUUGAUCUCCCUUUUCUGGUGCCUUCCCCACCUCCACAGAAAAAGAAUCCUCUCCAUUAUUCUGAGCAAUCCCAAGCUCCCUGCAGCCUCUGUCCCCCAGACAGGUAGACCCAAGACCGUCUGGAUCCGACUCCAGGGCCGCCCCUCCCUGCCCAGCCUCGCUGUCUUUCCAGCCCGGGGUUGUUUCAGCUGGGGUUCUUCACAGAGGGCCCGGGACCCAGGGAGGCUUCCCUGAGGAUGGCACACAAGGGCUGGGCACGCAGGGGGAACAGCAGUUGGCCGGCAGAGCGGGUGGGCUAAGCAGAAGGGAGUUGCUCAAGCAGGGGGCUACGGGGCGGCACGUCAGGGGAGCUGCCCAUCUCGCUUCUGCCACACCAGCCUUUCUUCCUCCAAGAGGUUCCCACGACCCCACCAGCUUGUAGCUCCUGGGCCGGCUUCCUCCUGCAGCACAGGCUCCAGACAGGACACACGGACGGGCAAAUGACAACGGAGUAGCCUGGGCAGGGGGUCAGGAGGCAGAAUGGCCAUGCGAUGCUGGAUGAGGACCCCAUCCUCAGGACUGCCAUUCCCUGUUCUCAACGUGAGGUGGUGAACCUGGGUGUCCUGAGGUCAGAGGAGGGACUUUCUGGGCUCCUACUUGGGAUGGAUAGGGCAGUUUCUUUCUAGAAGGUGGAGCACUAUCGCCCUCUUGUGGCUGUGGUGAGAGGCAGCAA